rnacentral:rRNA from 1 species
AUUGAACGCUGGCGGCAUGCCUUACACAUGCAAGUCGAACGGCAGCACGGGAGCAAUCCUGGUGGCGAGUGGCGAACGGGUGAGUAAUGUAUCGGAACGUGCCCAGUCGUGGGGGAUAACGUAGCGAAAGCUACGCUAAUACCGCAUACGAUCUAUGGAUGAAAGCGGGGGAUCGCAAGGCCUCGCGCGAUUGGAGCGGCCGAUAUCAGAUUAGGUAGUUGGUGGGGUAAAGGCUCACCAAGCCGACGAUCUGUAGCUGGUCUGAGAGGACGACCAGCCACACUAGGACUGAGACACGGCCCAGACUCCUACGGGAGGCAGCAGUGGGGAAUUUUGGACAAUGGGCGAAAGCCUGAUCCAGCAAUGCCGCGUGCAGGAUGAAGGCCUUCGGGUUGUAAACUGCUUUUGUACGGAACGAAACGGCGAACUCUAAUACAGUUUGCUAAUGACGGUACCGUAAGAAUAAGCACCGGCUAACUACGUGCCAGCCGCCGCGGUAA